UACGGGGGGGGCAAGCGUUGUUCGGAAUUACUGGGCGUAAAGGGCUCGUAGGCGGCCAACUAAGUCAGACGUGAAAUCCCUCGGCUUAACCGGGGAACUGCGUCUGAUACUGGAUGGCUUGAGUUUGGGAGAGGGAUGCGGAAUUCCAGGUGUAGCGGUGAAAUGCGUAGAUAUCAGGAGGAACACCGGUGGCGAAGGCGGGUCUCUGGGAAGUAACCGACGCUGAGAAGCGAAAGCAUGGGUAGCAAACAGG
rnacentral:rRNA from 1 species